UACGGAGGGAGCUAGCGUUGUCCGGAAUCACUGGGCGUAAAGGGCGCGUAGGCGGCUCAUGAAGGCUGUGGUGAAAGUCCGGGGCUCAACCUCGGAUCGGCCCGUGGCGACUCGUGGGCUGGAGCACUGUAGAGGCGGGUGGAAUUCCGGGUGUAGCGGUGGAAUGCGUAGAGAUCCGGAAGAACACCAGUGGCGAAGGCGGCCCGCUGGGCAGUGGCUGACGCUGAGGCGCGACAGC
rnacentral:rRNA from 1 species